UAAGGGAUAUUGCGCGAAUGGACGAAAGUCUGACGCAGCAACGCCGCGUGCGGGAGGAAGGCCUUCGGGUCGUAAACCGCUUUUCGAGGUGAAGAGCGAGGACGGUAGCCUCGGAAGAAGUCUCGGCUAACUACGUGCCAGCAGCCGCGGUAAAACGUAGGAGGCGAGCGUUAUCCGGAUUUACUGGGUGUAAAGCGCGUGCAGGCGGUUGGAUAAGUUCGAUGUGAAAGCGCCUGGCUCAACCGGGCGAGGACGUCGAAGACUGUUCGACUGGAGGCAGGGAGAGGUCUGUGGAAUUCCGGGUGUAGUGGUGAAAUGCGUAGAGAUCCGGAGGAACACCAGUGGCGAAGGCGGCAGACUGGCCCUGACCUGACGCUCAGACGCGAAAGCACGGGGAGCGAACGGG
rnacentral:rRNA from 1 species